ACCUUUAUUCUAUGUCCUCCUAGAAUAUCCUGAGGAACUGGGGGAGGAGCCACCCAGCAUCAGGUCAAAUGUGGCAGCUCCUUCUACCACCAUGGUCCUCGUGGAUGAGGGAACUGAUGAAAACGGUGUGUGUACAGAAAUCAUCACCCCAGUGACGAACAGUCAGGGUGAGAAGAAGAAGCUCCCCUACCCCAGGAACCACUGGAAGAAUUGCCUGCCUUUGAGGGAGAAGAAGAGGCUCUGUCUGACACUGAGGUGAGCUCCCUUUCUUUAUCUCAGAUGAAAAUGCGGCUUCAUUUCUUUUUUCAGUCAAAGGCAGUUACAAAAUUCAGACCAUGUAUGUUAUAGCUGAUGUAUACAGUUUCCUUGGUUGGGGUAUGUUGAGGGAAAAUCAAUUACAACAGAGACCUGAUUCAUUAAAUCUUUCCCCAAAAGUUAGCAUCAAAUAAC
rnacentral:lncRNA from 1 species